rnacentral:hammerhead_ribozyme from 1 species
AUCCAGCUGAUGAGUGCCAAAUAGGACGAAAUGAGCGGCCUGGAU